rnacentral:misc_RNA from 1 species
GAUGAAGAACGUAGCGAAAUGCGAUAAGUAAUGUGAAUUGCAGAAUUCAGUGAAUCAUCGAAUCUUUGAACGCACAUUGCGCCCGCCAGUAUUCUGGCGAGCAUGCCUGUUCGAGCGUCAUUUCAACCAUCAAGCCCCAGGCUUGUGUUGGAGCCCUGCGGCUGCCGCAGCCUCCCAAAACCAGUGGCGGGCUCGCUAUCACACCGAGUGCAGUAGUUUACUCUUCGCUCAGGGCGUGUGGCGGGUGCUAGCCGUGAAACCCCCAACUUCUCAAGGUUGACCUCGGAUCAGGUAGGAAUUCCCGCUGAACUUAAGCAUAUCAAUAAGCGGAGGA